rnacentral:pre_miRNA from 1 species
UGGGAUGUUGACCUAGCCUCUCCUUGGCUUUGUCUGUGUGUAUUAUUGUUCAGACAUAGCCUGAUAGAGGUUACGUUUUAUCCCU